rnacentral:lncRNA from 1 species
GCUAAAUACAUUAGGCAGCAGGACUUGGCCUCAGAACCACUUUUUGUUCUAUUGCCAUGUCCAUUUGUUCAAGUUUUGAGUGUGAACUUGAUGCCCCACUGAGAUAUAACAAUGUUAUGCUGACUAACCCGAUAAUUGAUUGAUUGAUGAAUAUUACUAAAAGAUAUUUGUUUCUUUUUUCCUACACCAUCCACUCGAAGGAUAAGAGAUAGGUCCUACUUCCAAAGGAUCAGUGUUGCUAACACUAACUGAAUCAUGGAAUAUGUUUACACUCUCAGCACCAAGAAUUGCUAAUCUACCUGGAAAACAAUAACCCUGUCUGCUGAACUUAUGGUGGCCCUUAACCCUUCACAAAACCCACGUCCGCUUAUACAGCUGUUAUGAUAUCCCACUAUAUAUAUGAAGUUGCUUUAUGCUUUUAGCCCAUCGGUGUACAAUUUAUACGGUGGUUCAUGUGACAAAUCCUUGCAAAAUCUGCAUUCUUUUAGUCAAAAUUAAGAUUUUUACUUUCUUGAUUUUAAAUGAUUGUGCGUAUGGCAAGUUGUGGUUUUAACUUUGUUUUAAUAAUUUCAUGUUGACCCGCUAUGGUUAGGAGCUUGAUAUGGAUAUUAUAUGGAGCCUACUUGUAGUUAAAAAAAAUUAUUAUCGUUGUACUUCAAAGGAUUUAGAUCAAAGACUUUCUCACUGCUAUUUCUUUGAUACUAUAAAUUCUUGUUAUAUGUUAAUGACAUCAUUUAAGUUUAGAAAUAAGAAAUCUCAAUU